rnacentral:rRNA from 1 species
GACGAACCGUGCGAACGUUAUUCGGAAUCACUGGGCUUAAAGCGCGUGUAGGCGGAUGGGAACGUCGGUAGUUGAAAGCCCCCCCGGCUCAACCGGGGAAGUGGUGCCGAAACGACCCGUCUGGAGGGACGUAGGGGGGGACCUGGAACUUCCGGUGGAGCGGUGAAAUGCGUUGAGAUCGGAAGGAACGCCCGUGGCGAAAGCGAGGUCCUGGACGUCUACUGACGCUGAGACGCGAAAGCUAGGGGAGCAAACGGG